UUGUCUAUGUCCAAUGCUUAACAUUCACAGACCAGGGGUGAGGGCUCCCCUGCGAACGGGCAGGAAGCCAUGGAAAGAAGAUGGGAGAUUCUGCUGGGACUUCUGUGGGUCCAGAUUUGCUGGGUGAGAGGGCUGCAGGUGGAGCAGAGUCCUUCAGCCCUGAGUGUCCAGGAGGGAGCCAGCCCCACUCUACGGUGUAAUUUUUCUGACACGAUACAGGGCAUGCAGUGGUUCCGACAGAAUCCUGGGAGCAGCCUCAUCAGAUUAUUUUACAUAGCUUCAGGGACAAAGGAGAAUGGAAGGUUGACGUCAACCCUCAAUUCCCGGGAGCGCUACAGCACCCUCCACAUCGCAGCCUCCCAGCUGGCUGACUCAGGCACCUACUUCUGUGCAGCAGAGGCACAGUGCUCCCAGGUCACCUGCUGCCUGCACCCAAACUGCAGCUGA